rnacentral:rRNA from 1 species
UACGUAGGGUGCAAGCGUUAAUCGGAAUUACUGGGCGUAAAGCGCGCGCAGGCGGUUAUGUAAGACAGGUGUGAAAUCCCCGGGCUUAACCUGGGAACUGCAUUUGUGACUGCAUAGCUAGAGUACGGUAGAGGGGGAUGGAAUUCCGCGUGUAGCAGUGAAAUGCGUAGAGAUGUGGAGGAAUACCGAUGGCGAAGGCAGCCCCCUGGGAUAACACUGACGCUCAUGCACGAAAGCGUGGGGAGCAAACAGG